rnacentral:rRNA from 1 species
CCUACGGGUGGCUGCAGUGGGGAAUAUUGCACAAUGGGCGCAAGCCUGAUGCAGCCAUGCCGCGUGUGUGAAGAAGGCCUUCGGGUUGUAAAGCACUUUCAGCGGGGAGGAAGGCGUUAAGGUUAAUAACCUCGGCGAUUGACGUUACCCGCAGAAGAAGCACCGGCUAACUCCGUGCCAGCAGCCGCGGUAAUACGGAGGGUGCAAGCGUUAAUCGGAAUUACUGGGCGUAAAGCGCACGCAGGCGGUCUGUCAAGUCGGAUGUGAAAUCCCCGGGCUCAACCUGGGAACUGCAUUCGAAACUGGCAGGCUAGAGUCUUGUAGAGGGGGGUAGAAUUCCAGGUGUAGCGGUGAAAUGCGUAGAGAUCUGGAGGAAUACCGGUGGCGAAGGCGGCCCCCUGGACAAAGACUGACGCUCAGGUGCGAAAGCGUGGGGAGCAAACAGGAUUAGAUACCCGUGUAGUC